rnacentral:lncRNA from 1 species
AGAAAUUAAUAAACACCGGUUAUGAAUCAUCGAUCAAAAUUAUCCACCUCAACAAAAUAGUGUUAUAUAUCUAAAUAUAAGACAUACAGUGAAGUAUUCACCUUAUGAAUAAUUAAUCAAGCCUUCUUAAUUAAUAGCUUAAUGUUAUGUAGUUUGUGUUAAUGUUAAGGUUGAAGAACCGGAGGAAUAUAAUGAAUUCUUCCUGUGUUAUGUUAUAAAGAUAAUGUGAAGUAUUUUCAUUUUUAUUGUGAGCCGCAAUUUUAUAUCUAUUUUACUUUAGUAGUUUUCUUUUAUUUGGAAAUUGGUUUUUAACACUUUAGUUUAUCAUUUCUUUAUGAAGAAAUUUUAAU